rnacentral:rRNA from 1 species
UACAGAGGGCCCAAGCGUUGUUCGGAUUCAUUGGGCGUAAAGGGUGCGUAGGCGGUUGCCUAAGUCAGGUGUGAAAUCUCGAGGCUCAACCUCGAAACUGCACUUGAUACUGGGUGACUUGAGUACUGGAGGGGAGACUGGAAUUUACGGUGUAGCAGUGAAAUGCGUAGAUAUCGUAAGGAAGACCAGUGGCGAAGGCGAGUCUCUGGACAGUUACUGACGCUGAGGCACGAAGGCUAGGGGAGCAAACGGG